UAAAAUGUUGUGGGUUCUACAACUCCUCCGACUUCGUGGGCUCGCCGUACUAUUUGGACCACGAGAAGCAAUACCCACCGCAGUGCUGCCCAGGCAUGGAGAGCCCCUGUAACCAAACGGUGGCUGACAGUGACACGACCAUUACUGGGUGCUUCCCAAAGAUCAAGAAGCUGAUUGAUGACAACACAGUGGUCAUUGUGGCCGUGGCUCUGGGAAUUGCAUUGCUGGAGAUAUGUGCCAUGGCGGUUUCCAUGAUCCUUUUCUGCAGAAUAAAAUCCAGGGGGGACUAACUGCAAAUGGUGAAGGCCCAGGAAGCAUCCUUUUAAUCACUGAGAUCUUUCUACUUCCUCUAGAAGAGCGAAGGGCCUCAUCAUUAAAGGCAGUUCAUGUCAUAUCUCGGGCGAUCAGAAUUACCGAAUGACAUAACCAAUCUAUUUUUACUACGUUUAAAUCUAUUUAAGCAAUGCCGCAUAUGAAUGUAAAUGAUCUCUAAAGAACUACACGUUGUCAAACGGCCUACACACACUGCCUACUUCGCCCAGAGACCUUUUUAAAUCUGCUACUACCUGAACGCAUGGUAAGUCAAUGAGGAAUCACAUCAUAUCUGCGUUAUCAUCGUGAUAAUGAAACAUGGAGGCUGCUGUGUCGGGCACAGGAACCACUAUUGGUAAUGUUGAUGCUGUGACGCAGCCUGUGAAACAGCAACAGAUGUGAUGCACUAUUGGAUGUUGGUGAA